rnacentral:rRNA from 1 species
UGGGGAAUAUUGGACAAUGGAGGAAACUCUGAUCCAGCAAUUCUGUGUGUGUGAAGAAGGUUUUAGGACUGUAAAACACUUUUAGUAGGGAAGAAAAAAAUGACGGUACCUACAGAAGAAGCAACGGCUAAAUACGUGCCAGCAGCCGCGGUAAUACGUAUGUUGCGAGCGUUAUCCGGAAUUAUUGGGCUUAAAGGGCAUCUAGGCGGUAAGACAAGUUGAAGGUGAAAACCUGUGGCUCAACCAUAGGCUUGCCUACAAAACUGUAUAACUAGAGUACUGGAAAGGUGGGUGGAACUACACGAGUAGAGGUGAAAUUCGUAGGUAUGUGUAGGAAUGCCGAUGAUGAAGAUAACUCACUGGACAGCAACUGACGCUGAAGUGCGAAAGCUAGGGGAGCAAACAGG